rfam:Trichobilharzia regenti genome assembly, scaffold: TRE_contig0019442
GUACUGCUGAAGAGUCCCAAACUAGGACGAAAUAGCUGUCCAGUAU